GAAGCUUGGUCAAAAGCUUGGUUAUUAUCAUUGGAACCAGAAAGUCAGUGAAACCCAAAUGCACAACUUGAACAGAGGUCCUUUCCAGAAGUCAAGUCUUCCAAAACACCCAAAAUGGAACCACCCUCCUGCCAGCACAACUGAUUGGCCAGUUUUGUCACUCAGCCCUUGCACAGUUGUGACCUUUCAUUGACCAGCUGGCAGCUGUAGCCAGCCUUCCCAGGAGGUAAUCAUGAGGAGGUACCAGUGAUAGCCCAGGAAGUACGCUUUAGUAAGAGGAACUUCUUCUUAAUUUUUUUUUAAUGUUUAUUUAUUUUUGAGAGAGACAGAGACAGAAUGCGAGUGGGUUGGGGCAGGGGGAGAGGGAGGCACAGAAUCCGAAGCAGGCCCAAGGCUCCGAGCCGUCAG
rnacentral:lncRNA from 1 species